rnacentral:lncRNA from 1 species
AUGCCUGUCUUUUCUUUCCCAUCCAUCUCCUCUUUAACCAGUGACCUUCAUGUUAAAUCCUGUUUACACACCAGCCCCCCCCGGGCUCCCACACACACAAGCACAUCACCAGGGGCAGAAGGAAGAAUUUCCCCGCAAGGAGGACAGGGUAAAAGAAGGGAUUUCGGGAUUUAUUUCAGCAUGCCACAGAGAUUUUGCAAAUCCCUCCUCGCUUGCACAUUGGAGCCGCCCGUGUGUGUUUGCAGGCAUCAGCAGGGCGGAUAUAUGAAAGGGAGAGGGAUAAGGGACAUAAAACGUGCAGACAGAUGGCUUUUCUCGCUACCUUUACCGUUAAUAUUCGAAGAACCAGACACACAUCGGCAUGCAGACCUGGGCACAGGUAUCGCAUCCUCCCGCGCCUCGGUACGCGAGGCGCCUCGUCGCCGCGCAGCCGAGCACCUCUUCUCUCCGCAAAACUACAAUGCGAUGGCAACACGAACGCUUUACAGCGAGAAUGACAGCCUUGGAGACAAGGCUUCCCGGCUUCCCGGCCCAACGUGCCUCAGUCCGCCAGCAUCCCCGCGCGAUCGCUCCUCGCGCGGCGGCGGCGGGCGAAGCCGAAGCGCGGAGGCUCGGCGGGUUUCGGAGCGAGCCCGAACCGGGGUGUCCUGCACCGCGCCCCAGCCGGGCGCAGGGAUGCAAAGCGGCGAGGAUACAAAGCACCGAGGAUACGAGCUUGCAGAGCGGCGAGGAUGCGAGGAUGCAAAGCGGCGAGGAUGCGAGCCCGGUCACGGCGCCCGCUCACAUCGCCGGUGGGCAGCGGGGACACGUACCGGCGGGCUCCGGGCGAUGCGGCGGCUGCGGGGAGCAAACCCCGCGGAGACCCAMGGCGGGCGGCCCCACGGCUGCGCCCCGCGGGGAGGCACCCGCCAGCCCGCGGGGCCCUGCGGGGGCUGCUGCGCCCGCACCCCUUCGCCUGCCCAAAAAUCCCCGCCAGCUGCAGCCCGCGGCGCUCCGGGCCGGCGCUGCCUCAGGGGCAGGAGCCCCCCGACAGCGCCCUGCGAAACGCACGGGGCGAAGGGGGAGGGACAGAGGGGCGAGCCCGGGGGGCUUCUCCUCCUCCUCCUCCUCCCCCCC